GAUGAACGCUGGCGGCGUGCCUAAUACAUGCCAGUCGAGCGAACAGACGAGGAGCUUGCUCCUUCGACGUUAGCGGCGGACGGGUGAGUAACACGUAGGUAACCUACCUAUAAGACUGGGAUAACUUCGGGAAACCGGAGCUAAUACCGGAUAAUAUUUCGAACCGCAUGGUUCGAUAGUGAAAGAUGGCUUUGCUAUCACUUAUAGAUGGACCUGCGCCGUAUUAGCUAGUUGGUAAGGUAACGGCUUACCAAGGCAACGAUACGUAGCCGACCUGAGAGGGUGAUCGGCCACACUAGGACCGAGACCCCGUCGAGACUCGCACGGGAUGCAGAAGUCGGGAAUCUUCCGAAAUGGGCGAAUGCCUGACGGAGCAACGCCGCGUGAGGGAUGAGGGUCUUCGGAGCGGAGAACGUUGUUAUGAGGGAAAAACACACGUCUAAGAAACUGGGCACGUCUUGACGGUACCUAAUAAAAAAGCCACGGCUAACCUCGUC
rnacentral:rRNA from 1 species